rnacentral:rRNA from 1 species
CGGACGGGUGAGUAACGCGUGAGAAUCUAGCUCUAGGUCGGGGACAACCACUGGAAACGGUGGCUAAUACCGGAUGUGCCGGAAGGUGAAAGGCUUGCUGCCUAGAGAUGAGCUCGCGUCUGAUUAGCUAGUAGGUGUGGUAAGAGCGCACCUAGGCGACGAUCAGUAGCUGGUCUGAGAGGAUGAUCAGCCACACUGGGACUGAGACACGGCCCAGACUCCUACGGGAGGCAGCAGUGGGGAAUUUUCCGCAAUGGGCGAAAGCCUGACGGAGCAAUACCGCGUGAGGGAGGAAGGCUCUUGGGUUGUAAACCUCUUUUCUCAAGGAAGAAAAAAAUGACGGUACUUGAGGAAUAAGCAUCGGCUAACUCCGUGCCAGCAGCCGCGGUAAUACGGAGGAUGCAAGCGUUAUCCGGAAUGAUUGGGCGUAAAGCGUCCGCAGGUGGCUAUGUAAGUCUGCUGUUAAAGAGUGAGGCUCAACCUCAUAAGAGCAGUGGAAACUACAUAGCUAGAGUGCGUUCGGGGCAGAGGGAAUUCCUGGUGUAGCGGUGAAAUGCGUAGAGAUCAGGAAGAACACCGGUGGCGAAAGCGCUCUGCUAGGCCGCAACUGACACUGAGGGACGAAAGCUAGGGGAGCGAAUGGGAUUAGAUACCCCAGUAGUCCUAGCCGUAAACGAUGGAUACUAGGCGUGGCUUGUAUCGACCCGAGCCGUGCCGGAGCUAACGCGUUAAGUAUCCCGCCUGGGGAGUACGCACGCAAGUGUGAAACUCAAAGGAAUUGACGGGGGCCCGCACAAGCG